rnacentral:snoRNA from 1 species
CAGCAAACAGUUAAUACCUUCUGGUCUGGCUCCUGGGGAUCUAGAGGGAGUCCGUCUGCCACCAUAAGUGGGGAGUCCUGUCCAGGACCAGUGUUUUAGUGGAGCCUUUGGAUUGGAGACCU